AAAUUGAAGAGUUUGAUCAUGGCUCAGAUUGAACGCUGGCGGCAGGCCUAACACAUGCAAGUCGAACGGUAACAGGAAGCAGCUUGCUGUUUCGCUGACGAGUGGCGGACGGGUGAGUAAUGUCUGGGAAACUGCCUGAUGGAGGGGGAUAACUACUGGAAACGGUAGC
rnacentral:rRNA from 1 species